CCUACGGGAGGCUGCAGUGAGGAAUAUUGGUCAAUGGUCGGGAGACUGAACCAGCCAAGCCGCGUGAGGGAUGAAGGUACAGAGUAUCGUAAACCUCUUUUGUCAGGGAACAAAGGCGGGGACGUGUCCCCGGAUGAGUGUACCUGAAGAAAAAGCAUCGGACAACUCCGUGCCAGCAGCCGCGGUAAUACGGAGGAUGCGAGCGUGAUCCGGAUUUAUUGGGUUUAAAGGGUGCGCAGGCGGUCUGUUAAGUCAGCGGUCAAAGCCCGGGGCUCAACCCCGGCCCGCCGUUGAAACUGGCAGUCGCGAGUUGGAGAGAAGUAUGCGGACUGCGCGGUGUAGCGGUGAAAUGCAUAGAUAUCGCGCAGAACUCCGAUUGCGAAGGCAGCAUGCCGGCUCCACACUGACGCUGAGGCACGAAAGCGUGGGUAUCGAACAGGAUUAGAUACCCCAGUAGUC
rnacentral:rRNA from 1 species